UGCAUGGUCUGCUGAGUAAAAAGUCUCCUUUCUCAAGAAACUUUCAUGGAGCAAAGAUGCACCACGGGUUGCUUUGCCUGGAAGAGGACAACAUGGUGUAGUUUUACAGCCCCUUAAUGGUCCGGGCAAGACACAGACAUAGCAGACAGCAAGGAUACAAAACCCAACCAAGAUGGCAGGAGGCUUCUCAGCUGUGUCUUGGAGCAACGUGUCGUCGCUAAGAGCUAAGCAAUUCUUUAAUCAGUACAACUUUCACACUUGUAGUUUUGCUACAGUUUGUGCUUUUAAUCUUGGGAUCUAAUGGUAGCUACCUUCUUCCUUUCUCUGUUUUUUAAAAUAUAUAUAUUUUUUGUGAUAGGGAGGAAGUUUGAUUGUGAAAGCCAGAAGCCUCUUUCCAGAUGAAGAAUCCAGAAGAGGAGAUUUCUAACUGAUACCUUUACCCAAGCAUUUGAGACUUCUAACUGAUACCCUUAGCUAGGCAUUUGAGAACAGAGUUAACAAAUUUGUCAGCUAGAGCUUCUAUCUUUAAAAGGCUUCCAAAAGAGGUUUCACUUUUAGAUUGAAAGAAAAAGGUGUCUGUAAUAGCUUCCUCACUUUUUAUAUAUGCACACAGGAAGGUUCAGGUCCCUUUUUCAAAUUAAUUUUUCAGCACUAAAGCCACAAUAGCUGCAAAUUUACUCAGCAAACAAACCAGCUGCUUUUUCAAGCACCCAGAAGAAGAGCAUUAGUGCACCUGCUUAAAUCUAGCUUGUCCCAAACCAUUUUCAACAUACAGUGGAAUCAACAGCAAACUCUGGCACAGUCAUCUUAUUUCUUGGAAGAUGUCCUGCUUCGGAAUACAGCUCCUUUUGGCAUUCUCUGAGAGUAAUAUAUUUUCUUGUGUGAGUAAUUCAGAGAUGACACAAUACAAUUUUCAUUAGUAUAGAGCAAAAUCUUUAUAAUAUUUACUACUUCUGUACAACAUCUCUUGCAAGAAUCCUUCAGGAUAGCCUUGGGAAUCUUUCCAUCCAUGCGGGAUGAACAGAGAAGCUUCACUGAACAUAGUCAUGUUAAGACAUAAAAUGACCUCCUUUUAACCAAAUGGCUGCUGUUAGCUGCUCAAACAGGAUAGUAAAAGACAGGAUACAAAUCAAGGUAUGUACAAAUUAAUGUGUUGGUAGCAAUUAUCUGACUUGUAAAAAGGGACAAGGAGAAAACGCAAUAAUAUUAGUAGAGAAACUUCCCUGACGGCUUUACGAUAUAUGCACCAAACGAGGAUCUAGUUCUUGGGCACCUGCCUUCAUCACCGGUUAUUGCCUAUACAGCACAAAGAAUCAUACGAGACUGAGGAGAUUAGCAUGUACUGUACCGAAUGCCAAUUUGAAAUGACACGACAGGCUUGCUUGCUGGAGUAGUAAGAAUUAGAUCGUGACCUGGAUAUCCAAAGCUCAGGGACCAAAACCACUCCUUGCCCUAACUUCACUGAAGUUAGCAGAGGCAAAAAAGGGAUAAAUUGGCUGUAUUCCUUAAAGGUCCUCUUUGACUUAAUACAGUCAUAUCUUUGUUAUAUUACUUCACUAUCUUUAUUUUGGUUGCUUGUAAAGUUGGAGUAUAGUUGGGAUCAGCUGCAAGAACAGCAACAGUGGACUGCAGUGGAACAUGUGGCAACUGGCUUUCCUCAAGUUAGCUUUGCAUCCUGAGCAUCAGUUUAAAGCGCUUCAUAAUAUUAUAUAAGAUGCUGAUACUUAUUUACCAGGUUUCUAUCACAGCACUUACAAAACAAGAUGUUACAUAAAUAAUGGUUCCCCAAAUCUCCUAAACAGCAUCUACUAGUACUUCUCAAUGUACUCCUCUGUCUGCUGAUGCUAGCAUCUUCAAGUCAAAUUCUUGUCAGAAAAUUGCUAAACAUAUCAUUUCCCACGAGGGAAAAAAAUCUUUAAAUUUAAUUAAAAGACCUUAACUCUAGUCCUGCACAUCAGAAUCUUGUUCCCCACAUGUUUUCUGCUAUGUGACGUAAAGGGAUAGGCUGAGCAUUUAUAUUAGCAGCAGCUCUCAAAACCUUUGGCUUUGCUUUUUUUUUUUUUUUUUUUUUUUUUUUUUUUUUUGCAUUAGUUGAAGGAUAUUUUGAUAAAAUGCAUCUCUCUCACACACACCUCACUAUUUCACUUCCACAAAUAAAGCUAAUAAACAACCUGAAUUUUAAAGUUCAUUUCUCCAACUUCUGCCAAUACAUUUCACACUCCAGGUAGCAAAAAUCUCACAACAUUUUGUUUGACAUCUUAAUCAACAUUGUGGCAAGGUCCCAGGAAUAUCAUUAAAGAAGAGUAGAAGUGUUAAGCAAAAGAGCUAAACUACAGCUGAUUAGGGCAUGAGAUGUAUGCUGGGCUUAACGGGUUAUGAAACAAUACUCCUCCUACUGCUUCGUAUGUUUUCACAGGAAGAAAAAACAAACCAUUGUAGUAUUUUCAGAAAGUUAGAAUAAAAACAAGUCUAUGAACAGAUAAAAUUUUUGCUCUUGUGUAAUCUUACAUUAAUUAUAACCACAUUUAACACUAUUUUGCAGAGAAAAUAGAUUUUUACAGAAAAUCUGAGUAUUGGCAAAAGAAAAAAGAAGUAUUUAAGAUAGUUCCACUGUAUCCACAUUUACCGUGGUACCCAGACUAAGACAUCUAAAAGGGAAUAAUUUUCCUGCAUUUUACUCUAAUGACUUCAAAUGGGGUCAUACAGUUGUAACAGGAGAUUUUCAACCAGUACCGUUAACAACCAAAUUUUUCUUUUUUAGGGCUAUUAGAGACAAAGAUCGCAUAAAUCCUUUUAUAUGGUUCAAAAUGCAACAGCUAGCAUUAUACAAUUGAUAAUAACAGUAAGAAUGUUAUUCUGUCCUAUCAUCUGUUUUGCACUCCUGAUCCAUACUGACCCAGAUCAAAGCAGAUACCUUAGAAGUAAAGACGACAGAACAAUUCCCAUCAUUCCCAUCAAAACUCUUUUGGACAAGAAAAUCUUCAUGAUACUGUUGUUCUGUAAGAAAGUUUAGUGAUUAAAAAUAUCUGGCUUAGGAAACUAGUUUUUCAAAAUACAGAACAACAAAAGAAAAAAAAUCCUCUACAAAAUGUUCAUGUAAAAUACUGCUUUCUAACUAGCUGACCUUGAAAGGAAGCACUGGAAAUACGCAGUAAAACCUAUUCCUCACUAAUGUUAGCCAAUUCUACAGCCAGGAUGACCCAUUCUAAAAGAAAACUGAGCCUUACUUGCUAGUAUCUGAACUGCUCAUUAAUUUCUUGGACAUGUGUACAGAAAGACCUAGUCCUGCAAGGUGCUGAGUCACACAGAGGACAAAACACAGAGAACUAAACAUCUGUAACCCUGACUGGUCCAGAGCAGUUUGAUUUCAGCAAGCUUAAAAGAUCUUUUUUGUGUGUGUGUCUUUUCCUCUUGAAGAUCAGUAAAAGGCUUUUUAAUACAACACAGCUAUCAGGUGCCAGGGACAGAGACUUCCGUCAAACCAGCUCCAAAGUACUGAGUUUACUGACUUUUUUUUGGAUGACAAGUCAGAAGAAUUCAACUAUGUAUGGUCCAACAGUGCACCUGAAACUUCUUCCUCUGAACUGCUUCGUGGAGAAAGCUCUGGGAUGUGAAUUUCUUAUCAUAGGGCCUUCACCUUUAAAGCAAAAUGACAUGGCAUAGUGAAAGAGUUCACAAGUAGAAUGGAAAGAACACUAAAAGAAGAAGAGCAAACAUAACAAAAAAGGACAGAUUUUUCUCUAGAAGGAGGGAACACAGUGCAAUUAAUAAUGAAAAGGGAAAAGGCGGCUCCCAAUCUUCCACAACUCGCAGGACAGACACUUAGAUCAAAGUCACUCCUGGCAUAACACUGCUGAAAUAACACCAGGGAUGAAGUUGGACCAUAAAUCUUCAUCUCAGCCUGUUAUGAUGAUGAUGACUAAUUUAUUCAGCAUUGAAGACAAGGGGUUAUAAAAACAAAUUUAUGGCCACUGUAUUCAUUGUAAUUAAUUUUCUCCACAGUGAAAGCCUAGUGAUUUGGAAAAAACCGACCUUUUAGAAGUGCCUUAUUUAAUGGCUCAUUGUUGCAUUUACGGUGCCUGGCUGCACCCAGCAUUUGUGCAGUAAGACAGCACAGCUCUUGUACUCAGGGAUGGGAGGAUCUCCGCAGUCAUGGAGUCAAAACAAACCUGGAUGAUUCAAUGUUCCAGAAAGAGUUUUAUUUCUUUUAAAUAUCCGUUUUGUCCACGCAUAGAUAAGAUCGGACAUUCCUGAUGUAAACUCAAGAGCUGCAUCCAAAUCUGCUUGCUUAUGCUCAGCUGAGUGAAGUACAUUGAGCAGGGGGUGGCAGCGCACCAGGCUGACCUGCCAGGGGACACCAAGCCCCACUGCUGAGCCACGCGACUCCCUGCCCUGGAAGCCAGUAUUCAGGAGAAGGGUAAUUACUGCUCAGUCUUACUGGCAUCAGGAUUAGCUCUGUCGCCAUGGAAAGGACAAGUGAGAAUCUCACAGUGCUCAGGGGAGCAGAGGAAAUUUCAGGGGAGAGAGGAAAACUACGGAAUUAGUGUGGAUUCCUUCGUUCGUUUUCCACUAACCUCAACCCUUCUUCUCUGCUCCUCUGCCCAGAAGCAGAUGCUUUCUCAAGGGAUUUGUGCUUUCUACCGAUGAUGAGAUGGACUAAAAAGCGUGAGAAACGUGUUAAAAAUAAUGUUCUGUCUAGUAGUUCCUUUCUUGCGAUGGGGGGGGGGGAGGAUUGCGCUGUAACUCACAGCAAUACUGAAAUAUACUGAAAUAUUGAAAUAUUGAGAUAAUAUAUUAAGAUAUUACUUAUAAGUAUAAAUUACUAUAAAAAUAUGGAAACAUGGAUAAGAUUAAACUAAAUGUAUGGAUUGGCUUGUAGUAUUUCCUCUCUACAAUCUACAGCUUUGUUCUUCUAAAAUGGUCAUAAUUUCUGGGAUGUAAGUCUAAUUAUAAUCAGGUAGCACAGUCCUAGUGUUUGCAGACACUGUCAGAGAAGUAGCUGUAAUUACUUCCUCAAUCAUUCCCCAUGAACGAAGCACUCCAGGCUAUGCUAAAACUCAGCUUAAUCACUGGAAAUAAUAUAAAUUUUAAAAUAAAGUCUUAUUAGACUGCCAUCUUUAAAACUAAUUUCCCAAUAGUUCUAUUUCCUACUAAAUUUCAAAUUGUGCUUACAUAAAGAAAUCAGGAAGUAUGAAGCAUAAAAUAAAUGUUGCACUUUAGGAGUUUUAUUAGAACUGCUUCUGCAUGAGAUUAUGCCAGUCUCCUAGCCAUAAAUUUUUGCAGUGGAGAGAACAGGGUUAAUGGGUUACAUUAAAGUGCACAGUAAACAACAGAUAGGGCGAGAGAAUGGAUCGGUCUGAAAAACGUCAAGAGGCAGCAAACAUAAAACAAUUUGGAUUUGAUGGUCACUGGCUCAAAGUAACACCUAAACCUCAGACCCUUGCUCUUUCAACUCCAAGCAUUCAUCUGCUGACUGAUGUCACAGCACUUCACAAUCCAAAUUCUACAAACCAAAUAUAUGGAAAAUACAGUUCAAACAGAUGCCAGACCACAAUUUUCCAGGCCUCUGAAGUGUUAGCUUAUUAGAAAAAAAGAUCCUAGAUGUCCCAAGAAAAUAUUGGUUUCAGUCAAUUAACGUUACUUUCACAAUAAGCCUCUGGCCUUAGUAAACAUUAGAGAUGCAUCUUCCCCAACUUUAGAUAAAUAAUCAACCAGUGCAAAACAUCACGGGUUUUUGGUCUGAACCUCAUCUCAUAGAUAGGGCUUCCACACUGCCGUGUGAAAUAGCAUUGUGCUGCAGUAUUUCCAGCUGCUUCCCUUGCCUUGGACUGCAUGUAACCAUGUAUUUCAGGAAAGAAACAAAUACCAAACAGGACUUAAAGAAAUAAAAAAGAGCAAAUGGUUUUCAGACAAUUUCCCUAUCUUUACUAUUAUUACAAUAUGCUGUUUAAUCAAAUAUAUAAAACAUUAUUGCAGAUACUUAAAUGUUACUAAAUAUCAAAAAGUUAGUAAUAACUUCUAGAAAAUAGAGAUAGGAAAAAAUCCACACUGUAGAUGGAAAUCUUAUUUUAGUCUAGUGAAGAAAGAAAUACUUGCAGUGUACAUGGAUUUGUAAAUCAGGAAUCAGACUGCGAGGAGGGAGAUCUGAGUUCUAUUCCCCACCUAGUGUGAUGCCAGAUAAUUUCCGGCUCCUUUGCCUGUUGAUUAGGUCUGGGUAGAGUCCAAGUCUUCCAAGAUGCAGAUUGCCAGUAACCAUGUAAUCAUGAAAUGAGGCUCUACUAUUAACACUGCUGGUCAGGAACAAAAAUAACUGUAGUUUGGAAAUUUACAGUUUUUCAUCUAACCUCAGUAUAUCUGAGUUUGAAUGGCAGGAAGGUGCCACUGCUCCCACCUGCAGCUGAGAAUCUGGCUUUUACGGAAGACAAGGCUUUCGGAAACUAUUAUCUUCUCCAGUGAGUCACUGAUGCAAACAGUGAGUCCAUCUCCAUCUGACGUAGAUCUCUGGCUCUCUUUGAAGAGAAAACUAGAAUCUGAACCUUCAUGGUGAAAAUAAGCUAUCUCAGCAGGAUACUUUGUGAAAGAAGAAAGUAAAGAAAACAGGGAAUUGCAAUUCUAAAUAAUAACCAAAAUCUUUAUAUUUGGAGAUAAAAGUAAUCAACUAUGUCAUUUUUUCACAAGUCCUAGAUUACAGCAGGAAAACAAACUUUUUCCAGUGAAACAAUCAGGAGGUAAGCCACAGUCACCACACACUUUCCCGUGCUCCAUGAUAGCAGGUAGCCCCUGUUGUUAUGUGGUAUCUAAUAGUAAGCACUGGCUGUGAACUACAAUUUUUUUCUGAGCAAAUACUAAGGAUUACCGAGUUCUGUGUCUUUUGGAAAUACAUACUAUGUGAAAAGCAAAUGUUUGGAGUUUUUUCCCGCCUUUGAUGAAUAAAAUGUUUUCUGCUAAGAUACAGGGUAGUUGUUACCAACUAUCUUCUCUCUAUUCACCUGAUCUCCCGAUGAAUCUUUUGCAUCGACCUUUCGUAUGUUUUUGUUCCAUUAUUUGAACAGUGACAGGCAAAUGCUAACCACAUGGUCUUCAGAGAGUGCUACACUGGAUACACCAAGUUAAUUUUUUACCUCCUCCACUCUGUAGUUACCAGUUAGUCAAGCUAAUGCUGCUUUUAAAGUCAAUAUUUCAAAGAGUAGUUUCAUGCUACCACAUUUUCCUCUGACUUUGCUAGAAGAUAGUUCUCAUCACUAUCGCCACAUUAAAAAAAAAAAAAAAAAAAAAGAAGAAGAAGGACACUUUUUCAAACAAAUGGGGAAGAAUUCAAAUGUUAGAUAUGACAGAACGUCCCUGCGGAGGGUCAAAAGCAUGAAAUAAUUUGUGACACCUGACAAGAAUCUUUCCACUGGAUGAUGCCCAUUUGAGACAUCUAGCACAAUAGUGUGUGGUACAAACGUAAUGUUCAAGUCAAUGGGUCCUUUUUCCCAUUAAAAUAAUUCAGAGUUUUAAGACGUUUUUACUGUUUGAACACCAGUAAGCAGGAUUCAGGAGACCAUCCAUUUCUACUAUAAGGCAACAGCUUCAUCUUGCUAAUUUCAAAAUGAAAAGAAACACUACUGCAAAAAAAGUCUGUCAGAAAUGACCAUGGCUACUAUGAUGUUAAUAAUAAUAAAAAAAAGACUAGCACUUAAAAUAUGUCAAGCCCUUUUUUCCAUCCCUCCAAACAAAGACAUUUUUCCAAAGGCAGCAUAGAGUUUUCAUUUCUAUGUGACGUAAAUCCAAGAUACUGAAUUAAGAUUUUGAAAUUCUGCUCCACCAAGCAUUGCAUGACACCAUCACAAAACAAACUAAUGCAAAAGGAGAUCAAAUGAUCAACUUCAAUUUUGUGGAAUAAGUUCAUAUAACAUCACGUGAUGCAACAACCAAAUGAGUUUCAGGGCAAAGAUUUGUUUAUUCUUUUUCUCAUACACGGCCUUUCAUAAGCUUGAGGAACUGAUUCUCUCUUUACACCCUCUCUGACCCAUUUUAUCUACCUCUGCUCCACAUCUGUCUCAAUGGAAGGAUGCAUCUAGUGCUAAGGCUUAUAUGAAUAGCAGCACUUAAACCCAAAGGAGCACAAUUCACGUUGCUGUUGUGAAUGACAGUAGGUCUCCAAGGCUUUGCAACCUGCCCAUAAAAGUGUGCGUUAGACUGAAAUCUGGCAUGCAAGGAUUUCAUGAAAAUGGGAAUCUUUGGUUCUUCAAGAAGACAGUUAAAUAAAAUAACUAGUGGUUCGGUGCUUAGUCAAGCAGACUACUGUCUCAGAAACACCAGCUUUUCAAGUUUCCAUUUUCACUGAGUCACACACAGCAUCCACUAACAGAGAGGGAGUUUCUGUUCUGCAAGAAGGCAGCUCACCCAGCCGUGUUAGAAGAAUAAGCGUUUCCAGAAGUGGCCUAAGUAGCACUUGCACACACGACUGUAGAAGUACUCACACGAGCAAAGUUUCCUGAAGUAAAAGGACUGGUUUUCAGAUCCAGAUAUGCUUUGCUAAAAUGAGACACAAGAUUUCUUCAGCGCUUACUUUCUGCUACAUGACAUUGUCGACGACACCAGAAUAACAGAAGACCAGUGACAUCUCUUCAUUCUACCCCUCUGACACUGCCUGGAGUCCAAUCUUUUUAUAGCAAAAUUAAAGACAAAUCUCCCAGAGAGUCCCACUGAAGUCAAUACAACUAUUUAGGAAUGUAAAUACCAUUUAAUUCUCCGCUGUUGUAUCUACCGAAGAUAGGACUGGACCUUUAGGCCUUAAUUUAAUGAUUUCAUUUCUAUUCAGGGAAGUGCUUAAGAAGAUGUGUCCUCUGGUGAAUUAUCCAUGUGCUCUUCACAGUUUGGAACUCCUGACAAGAACAACAUCCCUCUCCCUUGAGAUCUGAAAUGUUUCUCUCUAUAGCUGCUUGCUUUAUAUUGCAAAGACACCCAUCAUGUACAUCCCUAGUUGCGUUCUACUUUCUUCCUUUAAAGAAAAACACUCUAUGAACUCACUACAGAUGACUCUAAUAAAGAUUAUUCAGUCAAGGCUAGAAAUGUCUCCUCUUUUUCUCUUCUCACUUAACCACAAACUGCCUUACAAUUUUUCCAUUUUUAUCACCAAUAUGCUUGUUAUGCCCCUGCUUUUAACACUUCUGUCAAUGGUUCAAUAGCUUGGCUGCCCAGAAAUCUUUCAUGUCAGCCCUCAUGCAGUGUUGAUUUUUAUACAUCCUCCUUCAAUGUCCAUCAGCUUGCAUUUAAUGCACCAUGAAAUUCUGUUGUCCUUUGCUAGAAGAGAAAGCAGGGCAUAACUGUCAAAGAUGCUUCUUGUGGUCCAUCACCACUGCCAGUGGUGAAGGGCUGGUUAAGUGGGAGGAACAGGGAACUGUGUCCUUAUUCCAAGCCUCUUGGCAAUCCCACUAUUUGCCACUUAGGAACAGCACCAGCAGCUGACUCAGAUUUCUCCAGCUUCCUUACAGGAAACGCGGAUCCCACAGAGGAUUCAGACACAGGGCUGACCAUACACUUAAGGAUCUGAAUCACAUGCUCCCAGGAACAUGAACAGAGUGUUUCAUCUAACACAUUGGAAAAACAAGUCCUCAAAGAGCAUGCCUCCACACUGAAAGCUCUGGAUGGAAGUGCCCUGCUUUAUACGAAACCUGCUGCCGCGUCAGGGCUCUCACCUGGCUGCUCCUGUUCAAUCAGAAAGGGAGAGGAUCAAAAGCUACCUGAAGUCCACCACAAGGCUCCCAUCUUCUUGACAUCCUCUGUUUCUGAAAGUUAAUAAAAAAACCACAAUUUCAUAUUUAGCAAUAAUUAGUGCUUAAAAGUGCUUUGCAAAUACAACUAAUUG